rnacentral:piRNA from 1 species
UGGCAGAUUGUUGAUGGAACCAGAAU